rnacentral:rRNA from 1 species
GUGGGGAAUCUUAGACAAUGGGGGCAACCCUGAUCUAGCCAUGCCGCGUGAUCGAUGAAGGCCUUAGGGUUGUAAAGAUCUUUCAGCUGGGAAGAUAAUGACGGUACCAGCAGAAGAAGCCCCGGCUAACUCCGUGCCAGCAGCCGCGGUAAUACGGAGGGGGCUAGCGUUGUUCGGAAUUACUGGGCGUAAAGCGCACGUAGGUGGAUUGGAAAGUUGGGGGUGAAAUCCCGGGGCUCAACCCCGGAACUGCCUUCAAAACUCCCAGUCUGGAGGUCGAGAGAGGUGAGUGGAAUUCCGAGUGUAGAGGUGAAAUUCGUAGAUAUUCGGAGGAACACCAGUGGCGAAGGCGGCUCACUGGCUCGAUACUGACGCUGAGGUGCGAAAGCGUGGGGAGCAAACAGGAUUAGAAACCCUAGAGUC